rnacentral:lncRNA from 1 species
UAAUCUCGCGGAUUACAGUUGGAUUAUUUUCCGGGCUCACAAUCCAAAAACCUUUGUUGGUUUUACGGGCUCACCAACGAACCUUUACAAUUUGGUUUUCCGGAUUCACCAAAAACCUUUGUUGGUUUUACGGGCUCACCAACGAACUUUUACAAUUGGUUUUCCGGGUUCACCAAUCAACCUACUUCGUUGGUUUUCCGGGCUCACCAACCAACCUUUACAAAUAGUUUGACAAACAAAAAGAAAGAUUCAAACUCCUAAAUGAGCAAAUGAAACAGUAUUA